UUACAGAGCUGUUUGAUAGUCCUGUCAAAUACAGGUACUAUCCAACAGCAGGGUAAAUUACUGUGCUUAAAUGCAUGUGUAGAUGGUGA